rnacentral:rRNA from 1 species
AUUGAACGCUGGCGGCAGGCCUAACACAUGCAAGUCGAACGAGUGGCGGACGGGUGAGUAAUGUCUGGGAAACUGCCUGCUGGAGGGGGAUAACUACUGGAAACGGUAGCUAAUACCGCUUCCCAUCAGGUGUGCCCAGAUGGGCUUAGCUUGUUGGUGGGGUAACGGAUCACCAAGGCGACGAUCCCUCGCUGGUCUGAGAGGAUGACCAGCAACACUGGAACUGGGACAAGGUCUAGACUCCGACGGGAGGCAGCAGUGGGGAAUAUUCCACAAUGGGCGGAAGGCUGAUGCAGGCAUGCGGGGUGUAUGAAGAAGGCCUUCGGGUUGUAAAGUACUUUCAGCGGGGAGGCGUUACCCGCAGAAGAAGCACCGGCUAACUCCGUGCCAGCAGCCGCGGUAAUAC